rnacentral:rRNA from 1 species
GAUGAACGCUGGCGGCGUGCCUAAUACAUGCAAGUCGAGCGAACAGACGAGGAGCUUGCUCCUCUGACGUUAGCGGCGGACGGGUGAGUAACACGUGGAUAACCUACCUAUAAGACUGGGAUAACUUCGGGAAACCGGAGCUAAUACUGGAUAAUAUAUUGAACCGCAUGGAUCAAUAGUGAAUGACGGUUUUGCUGUCACUUAUAGAUGGAUCCGCGCCGCAUUAGCUAGUUGGUAAGGUAACGGCUUACCAAGGCGACGAUGCGUAGCCGACCUGAGAGGGUGAUCGGCCACACUGGAACUGAGACACGGUCCAGACUCCUACGGGAGGCAGCAGUAGGGAAUCUUCCGCAAUGGGCGAAAGCCUGACGGAGCAACGCCGCGUGAGUGAUGAAGGUCUUCGGAUCGUAAAACUCUGUUAUUAGGGAAGAACAAAUGUGUAAGUAACUAUGCACGUCUUGACGGUACCUAAUCAGAAAGCCACGGCUAACUACGUG